rnacentral:rRNA from 1 species
UACGAAGGGUGCAAACGUUGCUCGGAAUCAUUGGGCGUAAAGCGCACGUAGGCGGCUUUUUAAGUCGGACGUGAAAUCCCUCGGCUCAACCGAGGACGUGCAUUCGAAACUGGAAGCUCGAGUAUGGAAGAGGGUCGCGGAAUUCUCGGUGUAGAGGUGAAAUUCGUAGAUAUCGGGGAGGAACACCAGUGGCGAAGGCGGCGACCUGGGCCAAUACGUGACGCUGAGGCGCGAA